CUGCUUGACUAGCUGAGAGGAGGUGCAUGGCCGUCGUCAGUUCGUACUGUGAAGCAUCCUGUUAAGUCAGGCAACGAGCGAGACCCACGCCAACCAGUUGCCAGCAUGUCCUCCGGGAUGAUGGGGACACUGUUGGGACCGCCUCUGCUAAAGAGGAGGAAGGAAUGGGCAACGGUAGGUCAGCAUGCCCCGAAUUAUCCGGGCUACACGCGGGCUACAAUGGUCAGGACAAUGGGUAUCGACACCGAGAGGUGGAGGCAAUCUCCUAAACCUGUCCUUAGUUCGGAUUGUGGGCUGCAACUCGCCCACAUGAAGCUGGAAUCCGUAGUAAUCGCGUUUCAAAUAGCGCGGUGAAUAUGUCCCUGCUCCUU
rnacentral:rRNA from 1 species